UNNCCCGCUGAAUUUAAGCAUAUAAGUAAGUGGUGGAAGAAAAAAUAAACAUGAUUCUUUUAGUAAUGGCGAAUGAACAAAGACAUGGUCAUUUUGAAAAUUGUGGUCUUAGAUCAUGAAUUGUAUUUUCAAAAUGCAUUGCUAACACAACUGCACAUGUUUGUUUAUUGGAAAGAACAUCACAAAGGGUGACAAUCCCAUGUGUCAUGUGUAUGUUUUGUGUACAGCGUGCAUUAUAUGAAUCACAUUCAUUGACAAUUGAAUGCAAAUAGAAUGGUAAAUUUCAUUUAAUCAUAAAUAUGUUGUUGACAACUUAUAGCAAACAAAUACCAUGAGGGAAAUGUGAAAAGGAUUUUGAAAAGAAAAUUAAAAGAGCUUGCAAUUGCUGAACUGAUAAGCAAACAAAACAUACGUGUGUAUGCAAGAUUGUUGUAAUGCUUAGCAUCCUAUGCAAGGCUAUUGCAAUGAUUUUUUGUAUAGUGAUGCUACCUUUUUUUAGAAUUUGGAAUGUCUUUUUUUGAGUGUGAAUGGAAUUUUGUUUGUUAGCAAAGGAAUGCACUUUUAGAUUCAUUGUUUGAUUUGAUUUAAAAAURUUUGUGACAUGUGUCUUUGUUUUAGUUUCAUGCUUCAACCAAGGACAUUGUGUUGAUCCAUAUCAGCA
rnacentral:rRNA from 1 species